GGCUGGACUCUACCCCAGGGAGGGGUAAGUUCCAGGAAGACCACUGAUACCUUCUUGAUAGUAGUCACACAAUGCUUCCUGGAGCAGGUCAUGAAAUCUAUCUGGUGCAUUAUAACAAGAGUUCAAAAUAAAAUUUACCCAGUGCAAUAGAAUCCAAGCUCAGAGAAGAUUAAUCAAGAAAAGGCAUGCAGAACAUCCUGCCCACACAGACUCACAGAUCAAAAUCUUCAUACACUGCAGUGAGAGGUGGAGGGAAUAAGAAG